AACUAACAAGGAUUCCCCUAGUAACUGCGAGUGAAGCGGGAAAAGCUCAAAUUUAAAAUCUGGCGGUCUUUGGCCGUCCGAGUUGUAGUCUGGAGAAGUGCUUUCCGCGCUGGACCGUGUAUAAGUCUCUUGGAACAGAGCGUCAUAGAGGGUGAGAAUCCCGUCUUUGACACGGACUACCAGUGCUUUGUGAUGCGCUCUCAAAGAGUCGAGUUGUUUGGGAAUGCAGCUCAAAAUGGGUGGUGAAUUCCAUCUAAAGCUAAAUAUUGGCGAGAGACCGAUAGCGAACAAGUACCGUGAGGGAAAGAUGAAAAGCACUUUGGAAAGAGAGUUAAACAGUACGUGAAAUUGCUGAAAGGGAAACGCUUGAAGUCAGUCGCGUUGUCCGGAACUCAGCCUUGCUUUCGCUUGGUGCACUUUCCGGAUGACGGGUCAGCAUCGAUUUUGACCGUCGGAAAAGGGCUGGAGUAAUGUGGCACCUCCGGGUGUGUUAUAGACUCUGGUCGCAUACGACGGUUGGGAUCGAGGAACGCAGCGCGCCGCAAGGCAGGGGUUCGCCCACUUUCGCGCUUAGGAUGCUGGCAUAAUGGCUUUAAACGACCCGUCUUGAAACACGGACCAAGGAGUCUAACAUACCUGCGAGUGUUUGGGUGGAAAACCCGAGCGCGUAAUGAAAGUGAAAGUUGAGAUCCCUGUCGUGGGGAGCAUCGACGCCCGGACCUGACGUUCUCUGACGGAUCCGCGGUAGAGCAUGUAUGUUGGGACCCGAAAGAUGGUGAACUAUGCCUGAAUAGGGUGAAGCCAGAGGAAACUCUGGUGGAGGCUCGUAGCGAUUCUGACGUGCAAAUCGAUCGUCAAAUUUGGGUAUAGGGGCGAAAGACUAAUCGAACCA
rnacentral:rRNA from 1 species